rnacentral:rRNA from 1 species
GAUUAACGCUGGCGGCGUGCCUAACACAUGCAAGUCGAGCGGCAGCGAGUUUUACACUGAAUUCUGGAAGCUUCUAGUUGAAAGAGAAGAUUUAUUCAAGAAUUUUGUGUAAAAUGUCGGCGAGCGGCGGACGGCUGAGUAACGCGUGGGAACGUACCCCAAAGUGAGGGAUAACGCAUCGAAAGGUGUGCUAAUACCGCAUAUGGUCUUCGGAUUAAAGCCUUCGGGCGCUUUGGGAACGGCCUGCGUAAGAUUAGAUAGUUGGUGGGGUAAUGGCCUACCAAGUCGACGAUCUUUAACUGGUUUGAGAGGACGAUCAGUCAGACUGGAACUGAGACACGGUCCAGACUCCUACGGGAGGCAGCAGUGAGGAAUCUUCCACAAUGGGCGAAAGCCUGAUGGAGCAACGCCGCGUGCAGGAUGAAGGCCUUCGGGUUGUAAACUGCUUUUAUAAGUGAGGAUUAUGACAGUAACUUAUGAAUAAGGAUCGGCUAACUACGUG